UGUGAAUUGUGACUCAUGAAUUGUGGAUAUGAUUGUCAAUUGCUCAACGAUCUAUGUAUAUUUCUGACCAUUUUAUUAACCAGGUUUUCCGAAGGAAAAAACUGGUUAUUAGAUUGGCGAAUGCGGGCGGGCUGGCUGGCUGGCUGGCGGGCUGGCUGGCUGGCGGGCUGGCGGAAUAAGCUUGUCCGGGCCAUAACUAUGUCGUUCAUUGUCAGAUUUUAAAAUCAUUUGGCACAUUUGUUCACCAUCAUUGGACGGUGUGUCGCGCGAAAUUAUUACGUCGAUAUCUCCAAGGUCAAGGUCACACUUUGAGUUCAAAGGUCAAAAAUGGCCAUAAAUGAGCUUGUCCUGGCCAUAACUAUGUCAUUCAUUGUGAGAUUUUAAAAUCAUUUGGCACAUUUGUUCACCAUCAUGGGACGGUGUGUCCCACGAAAGAAUCACGUCAAUAUCUCCAAUGUCAAGGUCGCCACGACUAAAAAUAGAUUUAAAAAAAAAAAAAAACUUACAAAGGGGGUUAAUUUUUUUUUGUCAUUUCAAAAGUU